rnacentral:tRNA from 1 species
UGCCCCGUAGCUCAGCGGCAGAGCACCCGGCUGAUAACCGGGAGGUCGCCGGGUCAGCACCGGCCGGGGCAACCA